CAUUCGGGAUAAAAUGCUAAGUUACGCGCCUUGCUGGCGCAACGCCUUUGUGACCUACAUCCUGUAAG
rfam:Bacillus galactosidilyticus strain PL133 scaffold000009, whole genome shotgun sequence.